rnacentral:RNase_P_RNA from 1 species
GUGAGCGGGUGUCGCGAUCGCGUCACGGCUUCGGUCGUGCCGAGGAAAGUCCGGGCUCCGCAGGACAGGGUGGUGGGUAACGCCCACCGGGAGUGAUCCCAGGGAAAGUGCCACAGAAAAGAUACCGCCGUGCGCCUCGGCGCAGGGUAAGGGUGAAAUGGUGAGGUAAGAGCUCACCGCGGGGAUGGUGACAUCUCCGGCAUGGUAAACCCCACCCGGAGGAAGACCAAAUAAGGGCGAAGGGGUGGUCCGCCCCGCACCCGGCAGCCGCCGGGGAUAGGUCCGGGUAGGUCGUUCGAGGGAUCUGGCGACAGGUCUCCCAGAGGAAUGAUCGCGCGCCGGCUCUCGAGCCGGUGAACAGGACCCGGCUUACAGCCCGCUCACCCUU